rnacentral:lncRNA from 1 species
UGGACGUUAGAACCCCGCGAGGCAGGGUGAGGGGCGCCACCGAGGAAGCGCCCACCGGGCUCCCGGGGCUGCCAGGCCCCAAAUUGAGGAAGUUGACUGCCAGAUCACACUCUGUUGGCCCACGCGUGAGUAGAUAGAUUCCAUUCAUCCUUUCUAAUGUCUACACCAUAUUUUGGAUAACAUGCCAUCAUCUCACAUUGUGUUGAAAGAAGAAACCAGAAUGUUGGGGUUGAUGUAUGCCAUAUGGAUGAAUUUAAACAGUUUCGGCCUUGCAAUAAUUGGUAUACUUCUAAUUGCAUGUGAAAUUAUACUCUUUUUAACGAAAGAUGAAACUAUUCAGUGGCCACAUGUACCCAGUAACAGAGGGAGCAAAGCAAAUCUUAUCCUCAAAGAACUGCAGCUGCUUGUUAGAUCUACCUGGUGGUUCCAUAGAGAAACUGCUCAGAGAACCUGCCUUUACCUCGCCUAAAACAGAACUAUCCCGGAGCUCAGCAAAGGAGUCCAUUCAUCCUCUAUAACUGCUAUACAAUAUCUCUGUUAAAAUGCUGAGAAGAUUUAUCCUAAAAGAAGGCACCAAAGCAAUGGGGGCUGUGCAAAUAAUGAUUGGCCUGAUUCACAGUGCACUGGGAACUCUCUGAAUUCAUUGGAUUUUGCUAAGAGAGGAUUCAAGUGGUUCUGGUCCUAUCCCUAUAAUUGCUGUAGUAAUUUACUCAUUUUUGUCAUUAUUUUUUUUCAUCAACUCAGGAUCCAGUAGUGUAAUACAGAAGCCUGUUACGAGAUAUAAGGCACUUUGCCCUCGGAAAUCUCACUGUCGGAAUCCUUGGAAAUCACACCACGCACAACUUCUAUUUCUUCAUAAUUUGCAAAGAACCAGUGUGACUCCAGUCAAGAACAAAAGAUUAAUUGUGAAUUAGCGAAGAACUCUAAUUUUUUCAAGCAGCCACAUGGAAAACGCAUUCUAAUGAAAUCCUUUCCAUUGCUCUUUUUUCUUAGUUCUUCAAUAAAGCAUGCGAUUUGAUCACAAAUUGACUCUUCCCUUUUUAAAAGC